UACGUAGGUGGCAAGCGUUGUCCGGAUUUACUGGGCGUAAAGAGCGCGCAGGCGGUCGGUCAAGUCGAGUGUGAAAGCCCCCGGCUCAACUGGGGAGGGUCACUCGAUACUGAUCGACUAGAAGGCAGAAGAGGGAAGCGGAAUUCCCGGUGUAGUGGUGAAAUGCGUAGAUAUCAGGAGGAACACCGAUGGCGAAGGCAGGUCUCUGGGCAGUAACUGACGCUGAGGAGCGAAAGCAUGGGGAGCGAACAGG
rnacentral:rRNA from 1 species